CAGCCGCCGCGGUAAUACCGGCGGCCCGAGUGGCGGCCACUAUUAUUGGGCCUAAAGCGUCCGUAGCCGGGCUGGUAAGUCCUCCGGGAAAUCUGGUCGCUUAACGAUCAGACUUCCGGAGGAUACUGCUGGCCUAGGGACCGGGAGAGGCCGAGGGUAUUCCCGGGGUAGGGGUGAAAUCCUGUAAUCCCGGGAGGACCACCUGUGGCGAAGGCGCUCGGCUGGAACGGGUCCGACGGUGAGGGACGAAGGCCAGGGGAGCGAACCGGAUUAGAUACCCGGGUAGUCCUGGCUGUAAACCAUGGGCGCUAGGUGUGGGUGGUGGUGAGCCAUCUGUGCCGAAGCUAACGCGUUAAGCGCCCCGCCUGGGGAGUACGGUCGCAAGGCUGAAACUUAAAGGAAUUGGCGGG
rnacentral:rRNA from 1 species